AGUCACUACCAGCAGAUUCGAGUGCACCUACAUGAUUAUGUAUUCAUACUGGCUGGCCUGUUCUCUUUUGCAACAGACUGGAGUUGCCUCGCAUGGGGAACUUCUGAACUCUCAUGCUCCAGCUGAGAAGCUGACUGCUGAACUAGAAAGCAGUGGAGUGGAGAUGAGAGUUGCAUCACCUGGGAUACCAAGCCAUCUCCAUCACCGAACCACCAGUGAUGAGGAGAUGUGGAGAGGUGGCGAGAGAGACACACACGCACACAGAGAGAUACA